rnacentral:rRNA from 1 species
GACGUAGGGCGCGAGCGUUGUCCGGAAUCAUUGGGCGUAAAGAGCGUGUAGGCGGCCAGAUAAGUCCGCUGUGAAAUCUCGAGGCUCAACUUCGAGCUGUCGGUGGAAACUGUCUGGCUAGAGUCCGGAAGAGGAGAAUGGAAUUCCUGGUGUAGCGGUGAAAUGCGCAGAUAUCAGGAAGAACACCCGUGGCGAAGGCGGUUCUCUGGGACGGUACUGACGCUGAGACGCGAAAGCGUGGGGAGCGAACAGG